rnacentral:lncRNA from 1 species
UGCGGAGUCAAGCCGCUGGCGGCGGGAGGCUCAGAGGGCGACCGUGGAGUGAGAAGAGGAGCCACGAAGCUGGACACAGCACGGCACACGGCCACGCGGGAACCGAAGCCGCGCGAUGCGGAGCCGGAGGAGGCCCGGCACGCUCGUGACGUGGCCCUGGCCGACCUGCGCCUCCGCAAGGGCGACGCCCGGAGGCUGGCUUUCGAGAAGCAGGGCCUGCAGGAGUUUCUGAAGCGCCUCCAGGCCGAGGGAUCUCGGAAGUACUGGAGGGAAGAGCAAGAGGAGAACAUGCAGACUGACCUGCUCCAUAUUCAGCAGAGGCUCUACACCACCUGUUUCAGCCAGAUACUUGGCAGGAAGAAGGCUCUGCUGAAGUUGACAGUGGAACUGAGAGCGGCAUAGGAAGAGGCCUGUUUGCUGCUGUGGUGUGGCAGUUGGCAGGGCAGCUGCAGAAGGCCCUGGAUCUCUGUGUAAAGGUGGACGCCUUGGAGAACCGA